GACGUAGGGGGCAAGCGUUGUCCGGAAUCAUUGGGCGUAAAGCGCUCGUAGGUGGAUCGGUAAGUCUGCAAAGAAAGACCCGGGCUCAACUCGGGGAACGGUGUGGAUACUACCGAUCUUGAGGCAAUCAGAGGAUGAUGGAAUUCCGGGUGUAGCGGUGGAAUGCGUAGAGAUCCGGAAGAACACCGGUGGCGAAGGCGGGUCUCUGGGCAGUAACUGACGCUGAGGAGCGAAAGCGUGGGGAGCAAACAGG
rnacentral:rRNA from 1 species